rnacentral:rRNA from 1 species
UGCGGAGCCGUAGCGAAAGCGAAUCUUAAUAGGGUGGCAAGUAUGUAGAGAUAGACCCGAAGCCGUAGUGAUCUAGUCAUGAGCAGGUUGAAGGCUGGGUGAAUCCAGCUGGAGGACCGAACCGACCCCCGUUGAAAAGUUGGCGGAUGACUUGUGAUUAGCGGAGAAAUUCCAAUCGAACACGGCGAUAGCUGGUUCUCCCCGAAAUAGCUUUAGGGCUAGCGUUGAACGAAUCUACCCGGAGGUAGAGCACUGAAAUCAUGCGGGCGGCAUCUCGCCGUACCAAAUGAUAUCAAACUCCGAAUGCCGGGCAAGAAUAUUCAGCAGUCAGACUGUGGGUGAUAAGGUCCAUGGUCAAAAGGGAAACAGCCCAGAUCAUCAGAUAAGGUCCCAAAAUUUACGCUAAGUGGAAAAGGAUGUGGAGACGCGCAAACAGCUAGGAGGUUGGCUCAGAAGCAGCCAUCCUUCAAAGAGUGCGUAACAGCUCACUAGUCGAGUAUCUCUGCGCCGAAAAUUAACCGGGGCUAAGCGUAAUACCGAAUCUAUGGAUUUAUACUUAGGUAUAAGUGGUAGGGGAGCGUUCCAUACAGCAUUGAAGGUAUACCGUAAGGAGUGCUGGAGCGUAUGGAAGUGAGAAUGCCGGUGUGAGUAGCGAGAUGUGGGUGAGAAUCCCACACACCGAAAAACCAAGGUUUCCAGGGGAAGGUUCGUCCGCCCUGGGUAAGUCGGGACCUAAGGCCAGGCCGAAAGGCGUAGUCGAUGGAUAGCAGGUUGAUAUUCCUGCACCCGCGAGUAAAGUGAUGGAGUGACAGAUAGGGUUAGCCCUAGUCCUUAAUGGAUUGGGCAAGGCAAGCAGGAGAGUGGCGUAGGCAAAUCCGCGCCGGAUACUCAAAGGCUUGACUCAAGCGAACGCGCGAGCAAGUAGUGAAGAAGGUGAUACCAGGUCUCGAGAAAAGCUUCUAGCGAUAAUUUACUAGCGGCCCGUACCAAAACCGACACAGGUGGUUGAGGCGAGUAGCCUAAGGUGAGCGAGAGAACUGUUGCCAAGGAACUCGGCAAAUUGACCCCGUACGUUAGCAAUAAGGGGUGCUCGAAAGAGCCGCAGUGAAUAGGCCCUAGCAACUGUUUAACUAAAACAUAGCUCUCUGCGAAGUCGCAAGACGAAGUAUAGGGGGUGACACCUGCCCGGUGCUGGAAGGUCAAGGGGAUUUGUCAGACGCAAGUCGAAGCAUUGAACCGAAGCCCCAGUGAACGGCGGCCGUAACUAUAACGGUCCUAAGGUAGCGAAAUUCCUUGUCAGGUAAGUUCUGACCCGCACGAAAGGUGUAAUGAUUUGGGCACUGUCUCGGCAGCAGACUCGGUGAAAUCUUAGUACCUGUGAAGAUGCAGGUUACCCGCAACUAGACGGAAAGACCCCAUGGAGCUUUACUGUAGUCUGCUAUUGAGUUUCGGUUAAGUAUGCACAGGAUAGGUGGGAGACGAUGAGACUGGUCUUUCGGGAUCAGAGGAGUCACUGUUGGGAUACCACUCUUACUUAAUUGAAAUUCUAACUCUAAGCCGUGAUCCGGCUAGAGGACCGUGGCAGAUGGGCAGUUUGACUGGGGCGGUCGCCUCCCAAAGAGUAACGGAGGCGCACAAAGGUACUCUCAGAAUGGUUGGAAAUCAUUCAACGAGCGCAAACGCAGAAGAGUGCUUGACUGCGAGACAAACAAGUCGAGCAGGGACGAAAGUCGGUGUUAGUGAUCCGGCGGUGCAGAAUGGAAUGGCCGUCGCUUAACGGAUAAAAGCUACCCUGGGGAUAACAGGCUGAUCUCGCCCAAGAGUUCACAUCGACGGGGAGGUUUGGCACCUCGAUGUCGGCUCAUCGCA